rnacentral:lncRNA from 1 species
UACAGGUGAAUAUGCAGUAUCCAGGUUUACCUGGGGACGAUGUUAUAAAAUGGAUUCUGCUUCAGGAGGGCUGGGGACAACGCAGCCUCCGGAUCUGCAGUGAUCCCACAGCAGCUCACUGUGGGACUAAACUUGGAGCAGGACAGAGUUGAGGAAGUUUCCGGGGUGACCCAGGGAUCAAGGGAGCCUGCGGCUCAGCUCCCUGCCACCAUGCUGCCUCCAACAUUCUGGAGCACCUCCGUCAUGCAGCCUAAAUGUGGUGGUCGAAAGUGAAAUGCAGACCAUCUUUUCAUCCCAAGUGAAUUAUUUCAAAUCAGAGGAAAGUAAGAUGCAGGCUUUUGAUGAAUGUUCUCUGAGUGUCAUGUGAUGACAAUGCUUAGAGAAACAAGCACACGUAUGCAAAGUCAGGAGUGGAAUCCACUCCACACAGAACCAAGAG